ensembl:lincRNA
CAUUCACUCACAUGCACACGCUCAGGCACACAUGCGCACACAGCCUGCACACACUCAUACACAUUCACACACUCAUAGUCACACCUGCACGCUCACACACACUCAUGCUCAUGCCUGCACAUUUACACUUUGACAUACUUUGCUCACUCCAUGCACACACUUUCACACAGGCGUGCGUGCUCACACACAUGCUCUCGCACAGUCACCGGCCCCCAGGCCCCGCCACACCAUGUGCCCGGCUCCUGCUGCCCCCAGUAAAGGCGACUCUCUUCCAUUCAUGCGGCCAGUUCGUGGACAUCCAGCCCAGCGACGGCUUCGGGACGGUCCAGCCGCUGGAGAGCCUCCUGCUCGACGUGCUCUUCCAGCCCUCCAAGGCCCGGGAGUACAGCUUCGAACUGGUCUGCAAGUCGGAGAUCAACCGGCGUGGGCCAGCCUUCCAUCUGAGACAAGACUCCAGCAUCCCAGAACGCUGCGAGCCCUGAGCGAACUUGGACUUCACGCAGUCGCUCCCCUGCCUUACCCCUCGCUCCGUGCGAAAGCUCGCACAGAAACACAGUGUCAGUGACAAUUCAACACAUGACGCUGGGGCAACUGGAAAUCCACUUUAAAAGAAUGCAGUUGGACCCUAUCUCAAACCAUAAGCAAGAAUUAAUUCAAAAUGGCCUAAUGACCUAAAUACAAGAACUGAAACAGUAAAACUCUGAGAAGAAAACAGGGAAAUCUUCAAAAUUUUGUAUUUGGCAAUAGAUUCUUCGUCAGCACAAACAACAAAAGAAAACAAACUGGGCUUCAUCAAAAUUUAAAAUGUUGGGGAAGUGGACUUGGCCCAGUGGUUAGGGCAUCUGCCAACCACAUGGUGAGAUUCAAGGUUCAAACCCCGGGCCUCCUUGACCCGUGUGGAGCUGGCCCAUGCGCAGUGCUGAUGCGCGCAAGGAGUGCCGUGACACACAGGGGUGUCCCCCACAUAGGGGAGCCCCACACGCAAGGAGUGCGCUCUAUAAGGAGCGCCACCCAGCGCAAAAGAAAGUGCAGCCUGCCCAGGAAUGGCGCCGCACACACAGAGAACUGACACAACAAGAUGACGCAACAAAAAGAAACACAGAUUCCCGGGGCCGCUGAUAAAGAUAGAAGCAGUCACAGAAGAACACACAGCGAAUAGACACAGAGAGCACACAACUAGGGGAGCGGAGGGGAAGGGGAAAGAAAUAAAUUAAAAAAAAAAAAAAAGAAAUCCUACAACUCACCAACAGAAAAACAACCCAAAUUAAAAAUGGGCAAAGGACUCGAAGAGACACGUCUCCAAAGAAGAUACAGAAAUGGCCAGUAAGCACAUGAGAAGAUGCUCAGUAUCAUUAGCCAUUAGGAAAAUGCAGAUCAAAACCACAGUGAGAAACCGCUUCACACUCACUGGAUAGCUGUUUUUUCCUAAGUAGAAUAUCACGUUGGGGAGGGUGCGGAGAGACUGGUGGGCGUGUACAGUGGGUGCUGGUGUGGGGAACAGUAUGGUAGUUCCUCAAAAUGCUGAACCUAAAUGCACCAUCUGACCCAGCUACUGAAAAUGAAGAUGCAGACAGAUACUUGUAGCAUUACGUUCUUAGCAGCAUUAGUCAUUACUGCCAAAGGAUGGACACAGACCGAUGAAUGGAUGGACAAAAUAUGGCUUACCCACUCCGUGGAAUAUUAUUCAGCCAUAAAAAGGAAUUUCCCAUGCAGGCUACAUGUGGAUGAACCUUGAAAACAUGCUACAUGGAAGGACAAAUAAGUACGAUUGCACUUACAUGAAAUAUCCAGAAUAAGCAAAUUCAUUGAGACAGAAACUGGAUUUGGGGUUCCUGGUGCUGAGGGAGGAGGCACGGGGGGUCGUGUUUAAUGGGUGCAGGGUCUCUGGGGUGAUGAGAUAAUUUCCAGAAUGAACAGUGGUGAUGGCUGCACAACACUGUGAAUGUAAUCAACGCCACCAAACUGUCCACUUAAAAAUGUUCAAACGUAAAAGAUAAAAACAAUAAAAGGAAAAAAAUGUUAAGAUGUCAAUCUUAACUGUGUAUAUUUUACCACGGUAAAAUUUAUUAAAAAUCACCCCAUCAAUGUAACAACAAGGACGUGCAACUGGUCGUCGGCCGUCCCCGCGCUCUUGUGCACACGGACGAGGCAUGUGGCGCCGCACGCCAUAGCUUCUCGUCACAGCGGCCCCGGCCCGGCCCACGCCCGCCGGCCCCUGGCUUUCCCCGGUCUUGCUAGCCUUCUGGCCCUGUGUGAUGUCCCUAAGAGCUCUGCCCCUCUCCCUGACUUCUUACAUGUCGUUGGCCCCUUGCCUGCAGCCUUUUAUCCUUGGGAGUCGGUUUAGCUGAAGAUAAAAUCUUUGAUCUGUGUUUUUUUUCCCCCCUGCUCCUCCUGACCGUGUUCACGCCCUGCCUUCUGGGCGAAAGCCUGGCCGCCAGUGUCUGAUGCCAAUCAAAAUUUCUUUUUGUCUGGAU